rnacentral:lncRNA from 1 species
AGAAAGUUCUGUUUAUCACCGGAUUGGCUGGUCACCUUUGCUUUGACCUGCAGUGUGUUUCAGGUGCCUGAGAUAUAUUCUAAAGCACACAGUGUUUAUCUCGUGAACACACUGUUCUGGCUAACAGUAGAGAGACUGCCUCUUCUGAGUCCCAGAUACUUUCACAGUGCCUGGACCAUGGAGAUCUCUGGCAACAUCAAAAUGAAUGGGAUUAUUUGGCCAAAGCUUUGGCCUUGGCUUCAGUGAUGUGUGUGCCUCCUUUAGAACUAACUGUGAUUUUAAGGAUGCUCUCCUAACCCAUUACUGUGCUGUAAUUCUAGAACACUCUUGUUUGUCUAUUCAUUCGGUACACUUUUAUUAAAGCUGAUGUUGUAGAGGAUCCAGAUUAACUAUGGUAAUUCUUACCCUGAAAGAGUGUAGCCAAAUUGUGGAGAAAAGCAAAGUCAGAAAUCGCCACCAUAGAAGGAGGCAGGGAUAAGCCCCAGAGAGAUGCACAGGUGUUAACACGCAGAAUUUACACCUGGAGAAACAGGAUUCUCUUUCAUGGCAGAGGGGGAGUUUGAUAUGGGGAAUUUAAAAUAGGUUUUAAGAGUUCCCAUCGUGGCUAAGUGGUUAAUGAACCCAACUAGCAUCUAUGAGGACACGGGUUCAAUCCCUGGCCUCGCUCAGUGGGUUAAGGAUCCGACAUUGUGUGAACUGUGGUAUAGGUCGCAGACAUGGCUCGGAUCUGGCAUUGCUGUGGCUCUGGUGCAGGCUGGCAGCAACAGUUCCGAUUUGACCCCCAGCCUGGGAACCUCCAUAUGCCUCGGGUACAGACCCGAAGAGAUAAAAAUAAAAAAUAAAAAUAACAUUCCCAGUGGGAGGAAGGGCAUUAGAAUAUGCACAAGAUAUGUUUUGGAAAAUGAAACCAUUCUGUGUCACCAGAGUGCCAAGGGUGGGGUCGAGGGAAAGGGUGCCAAGGAGGCAGGAGAAGGACGCGUUAGAAAUGAGAUGGGACCAGGCUGCGGAGGAUUUGGGGGGCUGAGACGUUUCACUUCAUCCUAGAAAUAUCAAAGAGCCAUUGACUUAUUCUGUCAGUUUUCAUGAAAAAGGAGGAUGAGGGGGGCCCUUGUGUGAGGUAAAUGAUGUUAGUGCAGUGUGAGGCAGCUCAGUGAUUAAGCAGAGCCAGGCUAAGCAGGAGCUCCAGUCUGACUGCUCCUGGGUGGCACCUUGUCUCAGCAUCAUCACCCAGGAAGCUUGAUAGGACAGGAAGGCAGAAUGACAAGAAUCAGAUGGUCCUGAGAAAGAGGGGUGACCAGGGGGACGGCCCUGGAGGAAAGACAGAACUCCUGAGUAUGGAAGGGAUGCUGGGGGCGAAGAGAGAGAAGGAAAAAAGAAAAGCAAAUGAGGAAGCACUAGCUUGAGUCCUAACUUAAUUUUUUAAAGUGUGUAAACUGUUCCCAUUUAGUCUCUGUGAAGUAGCAGGAUUAAAAUAUCUAUCUAGAUGUGGGUGCUGUUUUCUGGGGUACCGGUGCACCGUGUACCCCAAAACCGAAACGCAGUGUUUCCCGAAAGGUAGUGUGUGCUCUGUAGUGUAUUAACCUGUAGAGUAGAAAUAUCAGCCUCAUCUGGACUUUCUCAUUUCCUAACUGAGGAGCUCUUCAACUGGACUUCCUAAUUUCCCAACAGCAGAAAUGAAGGUCUAUAAAAUGGACGUGCAGGUCAUGCUAAGCAGCGACACUUUCCCUGGGGACCCUGUCUGCAUCCCUCCCUCUCCCCACCCGCAGUUCUUCAGUUCCUUUGUUAAGCCUGGGGACCCGCCCUACUUCCUUCCCCUUUUCCAAUUCACUCAUGAAAUAUGGGCGGGAAGGGGCUUUUGCACAUUCUGAAACUGAAUCUUGGCAUCAUCUGCUGCCAGGGUAGGGUCCCUAUCUCUCCACCUCAACCGGAAUUUCCUUUUCCCCGUUUCCUGCAGCCUCAUCCUGGAACCCUGCCUGCGUCAAAGGGUUCUAUGGUCCUGCAUUACUAGGGAAGAAGUGGUUUAGAGUAUUCUGGCUCCUGCCACUCCUAUUUCACAUACCGAAUGCUGGGCUCUGCAUUUUCCCAACUUCCAUUUAGUCUGUU